CGUAGGGUGCGAGCGUUAAUCGGAAUUACUGGGCGUAAAGCGUGCGCAGGCGGUUUUGUAAGACAGGCGUGAAAUCCCCGGGCUCAACCUGGGAACUGCGCUUGUGACUGCAAGGCUAGAGUACGGCAGAGGGGGUGGAAUUCCACGUGUAGCAGUGAAAUGCGUAGAGAUGUGGAGGAACACCAAUGGCGAAGGCAGCCCCCUGGGUCGAUACUGACGCUCAUGCACGAAAGCGUGGGUAGCAAACAGGAUUAGAUACCCUGGUAGUCCACGCCCUAAACGAUGUCAACUAGGUGUUGGGUGGGUAAAACCAUUUAGUACUGGAGCUAACGCGUGAAGUUGACCGCCUGGGGAGUACGGCCGCAAGGUUA
rnacentral:rRNA from 1 species